UACGUAGGGUGCAAGCGUUGUCCGGAAUUAUUGGGCGUAAAGAGCUCGUAGGCGGUCUGUCGCGUCGGCUGUGAAAACCCGGAGCUCAACUCCGGGCCUGCAGUCGAUACGGGCAGACUGGAGUUCGGCAGGGGAGACUGGAAUUCCUGGUGUAGCGGUGAAAUGCGCAGAUAUCAGGAGGAACACCGGUGGCGAAGGCGACUCUCUGGUCUGUAACUGACGCUGAGGCGCGAAAGCGUGGGGAGCAAACAGG
rnacentral:rRNA from 1 species